rnacentral:rRNA from 1 species
UUGAACGCUGGCGGCAGGCCUAACACAUGCAAGUCGAGCGCGAAAGGUUUUCGGACUGAGUAAAGCGGCGGACGGGUGAGUAACGCGUGGGAAUCUGCCCAGUAGUGGGGGACAACAGUCGGAAACGACUGCUAAUACCGCAUACGCCCUACGGGGGAAAGGGGGGGAUCUUCGGACCUCUCGCUAUUGGAUGAGCCCGCGUCAGAUUAGCUAGUUGGUAGGGUAAAGGCCUACCAAGGCUACGAUCCGUAACGGGUCUGAGAGGAUGAUCAGUCACACUGGAACUGAGACACGGUCCAGACUCCUACGGGAGGCAGCAGUGGGGAAUAUUGGACAAUGGGGGCAACCCUGAUCCAGCCAUGCCGCGUGUGUGAAGAAGGCCUUAGGGUUGUAAAGCACUUUCAGUGGGGAGAAAGGUUUGUCACCUAAUACGUGAUGAAAUUGAUGUUACCCACAGAAGAAGCACCGGCUAACUCCGUGCCAGCAGCCGCGGUAA